AACGAACGCUGGCGGCAUGCCUAACACAUGCAAGUCGAACGAGACCUUCGGGUCUUGUGGCGCACGGGUGCGUAACGCGUGGGAACCUGCCCUUAGGUUCGGAAUAACUCCCCGAAAGGGGUGCUAAUACCGGAUAAUGUCUUCGGACCAAAGAUUUAUCGCCUUUGGAUGGGCCCGCGUUGGAUUAGCUAGUUGGUAGGGUAAAAGCCUACCAAGGCGACGAUCCAUAGCUGGUCUGAGAGGAUGAUCAGCCACACUGGGACUGAGACACGGCCCAGACUCCUACGGGAGGCAGGAGUGGGGAAUAUUGGACAAUGGGCGAAAGCCUGAUCCAGCAAUGCCGCGUGAGUGAUGAAGGCCUUAGGGUUGUAAAGCUCUUUUACCCGGGAUGAUAAUGACAGUACCGGGAGAAUAAGCUCCGGCUAACUACGUG
rnacentral:rRNA from 1 species